CAUAAUUUUGUCGGCUUAAUCGUGAAGAGUACGAAGGUAUAUUUUUUAAUGAAAUGAACAAAUUCACAGAAAAUUACAAGUUAUAACGUAUAUUUAAAUAUCAUUAUUUUCCUAAAGAUGUAUCGGAAUGUAAAGAAUGCAUUUUUUAGUUAGAUUGUUUUAAACAAAAUUUCUAAUUCGAAACAUUCUUUCAUUAUUUAAGUAGCUUUCACUAUUAAACCGACAUUGUGUUCAAAUGCUAUUUAAACCGAUUUGACAAAUGUAUUUCGUAGAAAAACUAUUACAAGAUGAAUAAAUUGCAAGUGAAAGAGAGAGAGAGAGAGAGAGAGAGAGAGAGAGAGAGAGAGAAAAUGAGAGAAAGAAUGAAAGAGAUUUUGAUGAUAGGCGUAGAAUCAUAGAAUUUAAUAAAAAAGAAAUAAAAAAAAUUCUUAACGUUUAAAAUCUUCGUUUAAACGUAUAUAUAAAAUCAAUCAAACGAACUUUUUGUUAAAUAUUUUUAUCGAAAGGAUACUUCUUAUAUCCAUUCAAUCUCAAAGAUAUUCUACAAUAAAUGAAUGUCUUUAACGAUAAUACAUCGACACUGUAAUAUUUAAUAUAGUUACAUUAAACUUUUUCGUAAAACAAACGAGCAUGCAAUUCUCUAUCAUAAAUUUAUAAUUUAGCUAGGAUCUUGUGACGUCAUUUUUUGGAUAAGUUUCAUAAAAGAACCGUAUAGUGGAGCUAGUGUCUAAUACUUACAAAAAUGGUUGCGCCUAUGAGGCAUCGUUUUAUUAAGCGUAGUUGUGUGUUCUAAUAUCAUUCGUGUGAACGUUAAGGUUAGAAAAAUGGUACAAAGGAAAAUAUUUGUGCGAAAUCAUGCACUUGGUUACGUUAGUAAUCACAUAUUCAUAGUAACUAAAUAUGUUCAAAGAAGAAAAGAAAAGCUUUUGAUUAUUUACGUUAGAAAAAAAUUUUAUAAUUAUGGAUGAGCACACUUUACCUUUCUCAGUGUGUCUGGAACUCAUCUUAAUGAUAUAUGUUGUUUAUCAGCAGAUACCUGUCGCAUUUAUACAAUUGCAGAAAAUAUUGUAUAUGCAUGGAAAAGAGGUACAAGAUUAAAACAUACCUACAAAAGACAUGAAUAUUCUAUACAUAUUAUAUGACCUUUCAGAUCGCAUUUACUCUUAGUCGAUAAGAAUAACUUUAAAGUUUGAAACGUAAAAAUGGAAGAAUUAAUUAAAAAAUUAAACUUUUCUAAUGAAAUAUUUCAAAUAAUGAUGUUGAUACAUCCUUUUAUUUAUAUGGACGAACUUGGUAGCUAAUAGAGAUGUUUAUGAUUAUGAAAUUUGAAAAUAAUGAAGAUAAUUUAUACGUUCAAGGAAUAGAAUAGAACUAUUAUAACUUUAGAACAAAUAACUAUGAUAAAUAUGCUAUGGGUCUAUAUGAUGGAAGAAUUAUAUUGCAUAAUCUUAAAUUAGAUAUAAUUUAAUAGAAUAAUUUUAAAUAAAAAUAAUCUUUUAAUUAAUUUAAAAUUAGGUUGCUAUGAUAUGAUUACAUCUAGUAGCGACAAUCAUUCUAUUAAAGCCACAAAAAAUUUAAACAGAUAUAUUGUAUUUUGGAAUCAGAGAAAGGUCAAAUUAAAUAAAGUUCAGUUUGAUGCUAUAAGUUUAAAGUAUUUAUCAAAUGAACCAUUAAUGGUCUGAUCUUUGCCUAGUAAUUCUUUAAAAUUAUGAGUUUUUGAAUUACUGAUGAAAAUUUCUUUAUGAUUAUGAGAAGGCCAUUUCAAGCCACCAAAAAUAAUACUUUUUUAUAGCAAAUUUAAUGCCUUAAUAAAUUUAAGAAAAAAUUCUGCUGGAAAACUAAAAAAAAAGGAACAGAGCUAUAUAAUAACUUCUCAUUCUGGUCUAGGCAUAGUUACUACAUUGUCUUAUGAUUUAUUAAAGAUAGAUGAUCAUAAAUUAUUAUCAAUAAGGUUUAAAAAUAAUCGUAAUGCAAAUUGUAUCUUACCAAAUGUGAAAAUUUCAUUGUUAUUGGUUAUGAUAUUGAUUAUGUAGAUGGAUUUAUUGUAUUCAUAGAAUCAGAUAUAGCAAUGAAUGCGAAGCGGAUAAAGAUUCGAUAAGGGACAUAGUGAUAAAUGUUUUAAAUGAAACAAUUGUUGCUAGAAAAGAUUGCUUGAUAAAAUUUUAUGACUUCAAACCUAAAAGUGACACACACAGGGCAAGAAGAAUUACUAUAACAUUACCUGAAUUAAUAGAAUGACUAUGGUAUUACAAUAUAAAUUACAAUGAAAUGAAUAUGAUUUUAUAUUGUUGCGUUAAAAGAUUUCGCAAUGAUUUUAAUUGAUUUAAAUACAAAAACAAUAAUGAGAUAUUCCUGUGGGCAUAAAGAACAAUUAAUAAAUGCAGCAUUUAGUUUUGAUACGAGAUGGUUAAUCAUAUCUUCUAUGGAUCAUACAAUAAAGGGUUAGGAUAUCUUCUCAUUUAAUAGAUGUAUUUCAAUAUAUGAUUUAUUUAAGUUUCAGAUGCAUGUAUAUCUUCACACUUCGCUUCUACUGGAGAAUUAUUUACCACAGCCCAUAUGUAUAGUAUGAGAAUAUAUUUGUAGUCAAAUCAUAUAAUUUAUUCUCAUCUUUUGCUACAAACUAUAAAAGAAGAAGAUGCGAUAUAUAUAAUUAAUUCUCUCAAUUCUGUCAUGGAAAUUACUCAAUAAGACAAUGAAGAUCUUAAUAAAUAUGAAUCUAAUAAAUACGAAUCAUAUUAUCAGAUUGAUAAAGAUGUCAAGAACUCAUAACAAUUUGAACAACCACAUAGAGAGUGAAGCCUAUGUUCUUAUCUCUUUCUUGUUGGAUCCUUUAACUCUUUCUUAUCCAUAUAAAUAUUUUUAAGUAAUUGUGAAUUUCUAUUAUAUUAUCAUAGUUUUUAUUAUUUCUAAGAAAAGUUUUGGUGACAAUACAGUUGAACAAUACAAAAAUUAAAAUAAAAAAGCUUAUUUCGCAUAUUUACAAUUUAUAUAACAAAUAUUAUUUUCUUCAAUAGAAUGUUCAAUAUAUAUAAAUAUAUAUUACACAAAAAUAUUUCCAAAAUAUAUACUACAAGUAUAUUAUGCAAAAGUAUUAUAUCUACCACUGUCAGAAAUUGAAAACUUAUAGGACAUGUUGGAACGAUAAAUUAAAGAAAUGGUAAUAACUUUGUGUUGAAUAAAUAAUUAAAAGUAGAACGGAAUAAUGUUAAUAAUAUUUAAAAUAAUUUAAUAAAUAUUUGAAAAAAAUAAUUUAUAAUAUGUAUUAAAGCUUAAAAAAAGUUAUUAGUUAAGAAGGUUAUUCUACAAGAUAUUAAAUUACUUUUUAAGUAUAAAAAAUAAUAAGAAAAUUAUUAAUUGUUAGAAA